CCAACAAAGAGCGAAUUCUGGCCAAUGCAAGAAAAUUAAAAGGAUCAGGAAUUGCGAUCUCGGAGCAAUUUCCAGAGGAAAUACUUAAAGUAAGAAAACGAUUAUAUCCUAUAUUAAAGAAAGCAAAACAAGAAAAAAGCGAGUUAAAAUGGUUAGGGACAAAUUAUUUAUCGAAGGUCAACUUUAUGUUGAACCUAGUAAGGAAUGAAUAUUGGC